GAUAUUUGUUUAAAGUUGUUAUUAUUUUUUUAUUUCUAAUUAACAUUUUAACUGUAAACCUUAAAUCUUUCUAGAGAUCUUCUUGAAUGGUUUUCAUAUGAUUGUAUAAACGUUAAUAGUUAAAUUUAUAUUCUUCAGAAACAUAGAUUUUAAUUUCCAAGAAUAAAAUGGAACAAUCUAUGAUUUAUUUACCUGAGGCUAUGCGAAAAACAGUUGUUCCAAUAUUUAAUAGAGGUGAAAUGGCAAAAUGCUUUGUACAUGUUUGUCACAUAGAAUCACCUAGUAACUUUUUCAUAAGAUUAGAAGAAAAUACGAGAUUUGUUAAUGAACUCAACAAUAUUCCACGAAAUAAACUUAUAGCCCCAGUAUCACUAGAUGUGGGGGCUGUGGUUUUGUAUGAGUCUGAAAAAUUUGAUGGAAAACUAACUAGAGGAAAAAUUUUAGCUCCUGUUCAAGUUUUGGGAGAAAAAAAAUAUAUGAUUCAGGCAAUAGAUGUUGGAACAACAGACAGUGCAAUUAGUUCUGAAAAAAUAUGGGCCUGUGGUAUAGAAUUCCCUCCAUUUGCAUUUCCAUGUAGAUUAGAUGCAUGUAAAGCAUUAAAUGGGGAUAAUUGGAAUGAAGCCAGUAUUAAUGGUUUUAAGUCCCUUGUGCCUUCACAAGGUACACUUCAAAUGACUUAUGUUACCACUGUUGAAGACCAUUUGGUAGUUAAUUUUCUUGCAGGGCAUAGUAUGGUGAGCGAGUUGAUGAUAAUGUGUGGUUGGGCACAAAUGAUACCUUCUUUUGGUACAAGGGAAUAAUUUAAUGUGAGAUUAGUUUUUAUUAUUGAUUUGUCAUUGUUAGUAAGAGUAGAGACAUUCUUGUUUUGCUUUUGCAUUAUAACAGAACUGAUUAUGUUAUUAUAAAAAGGUUUGUGUGUAAUACCAUUAGUAUAAGUAUUAAAUCUUUAAUACAUCUCUUUUUCUAAUAGGGGAUAAAACGAGGCUCGAAAGGGCAGCUAAUGCAGCCCAUGGACAUCCAUUUUUAGUGGUUAACUAAUAUAUUACUUCUAACUAUAUAAUUUCAUUAAUAUUAGUAAAAAUUACACAAUUGUUUUUCACUUUAGUUCAGUAGUACAGACUUUAUUUGGAAAGCAAUUGAUUUUGGUUAAUCUGGGGUGAGAUAAUUUCAAUUGGCACAAAGAUACCUGCAGCACCAGGUUGAAACUUAAACAAAAUGAAUUGCAAAGCUUCACAUAAAAUGGGGUUAUUAUAUAAAUAUAAACUUGUGCUAAAAAUUUACUGAGAAGACUGCCCAACAUGGACAUUGAUUUAUAAAAAUAUUUAGAAAAUUAAUGUAGCCUAUAUUAUUCAUAUUAAUGUAGGACUAACUCAUUCGUGGUAAACUGGUGCGCAUCUAACUAUCAUAUAUGUUUUUCAUACUACUAGAUGUUAUACGCAUAUAACAUCUAGUAGUAUGAAAAACAUUUGUAUAAAUAAAGGUAAAGAAAAAAAGCCAAAAAAAAAAACAACAUUAUAAAAUUGUUUUCUUUCACCAACAGCUAAAAUAAAAAAUAAAUGCACUUUACACAACAUAGAUUAUACAAAAUUAUAUUACAAAUACAAAGGAUUAUCCAUCAUCACUAUCAUAUCACGUAAUUACAUUACUGUAAUAGGUACUCUAAAUAUGGUCCCAAGUGUCAUUGUUUGAACUAAAAAAUCUAAGUUUAUUCCAAAUCCCCAAAUCUUAAUCACAAGUUAAAAAUAUAGUUCACUUGGCGAUAAAAAUUAAACCAACUUCAAAUAGGUACCUAAAUUAUGUCUGCUUAAGAAUUGUGAGACCUCAAAACUACCCAUUUUGGUGAAGCCUCAACUGUUUUGACUGGGUUGCCAGUUUGCCACCUGUACUUUAUAAUAAAUUAUUGUAUGUCAUUUAUGGUAAUGGUCCUCUAUACUUUAUAGGUACAUGAAAAUAAUUUAUUUCUUGUGAUGUGAUAUUAUUUCUCAAUUUAUCGAUUGGCUCGUCGAGAUACUACGUUAAUACAUACUGCAUAAAGCAAUAAACAAUUUUAUUUAUACCAUGCACUUUUUUCUUAGU